UGCGGGUUUGCGCCGAGGUCGGGCACCGGAAUCAUAAUCCGCAGGUCCCCUGUUCGAAUCAGGGAUGCGCCACCA
rnacentral:tRNA from 1 species